AUCUGCAGCUCUCACCUGGUGUUCCACUGAAGCUAAGCAGGGUUGAGCCUGGCCAGUACCUGGAUGGGAGACCUCCUACCGAAAACUAUGGUUGCUGCUGGAA
rnacentral:rRNA from 1 species